rnacentral:rRNA from 1 species
AACGAACGCUGGCGGCAGGCCUAACACAUGCAAGUCGAACGCUCGUAGCAAUACGGGAGUGGCGCACGGGUGAGUAACGCGUGGGCACCUGCCCGGUGGUCCGGAAUAACCGCGGGAAACUGCGGCUAAUACCGAAUACGCCCUUAGGGGGAAAGAUUUAUCGCCAUCGGAUGGGCCCGCGUAGGGUUAGCUAGUUGGUG